UACGUAGGGGGCGAGCGUUGUCCGGAUUCAUUGGGCGUAAAGAGCUCGUAGGCGGCUUGGCAAGCCGGGUGUGAAAACUCCAGGCUCAACCUGGAGACGCCACCCGGGACUGCUAUGGCUAGAGUCCGGUAGGGGAUCACGGAAUUCCUGGUGUAGCGGUGAAAUGCGCAGAUAUCAGGAGGAACACCGGUGGCGAAGGCGGUGAUCUGGGCCGGCACUGACGCUGAUGAGCGAAAGCCAGGGGAGCAAACGGG
rnacentral:rRNA from 1 species